GUUCAGGCGGGGCAGGUCCCAUUUUCUGCCACCGAAUACAUUAGCUGGGAAAUGGAAUAGGACCCUGUCCUCCUAUUUUCAGUUGGUUUGGCAGGCGAGGACUAGGGUAAUGAUUAAUAGGGAUAGUUGGGGGCAUUAAUAUUUAAUUGUCAGAGGUGAAAUUCUUGGAUUUAUGAAAGAUUAACUUCUGCGAAAGCUCCUGCAAGGAUGUAUUCAUUAAAGAAGAACGAAAGUUAGGGGAUCGAAGACGAUCAGAUACCGUCGUAGUCUUUAACCAAAAACGAUUGCCGACCAGCGAUUUAGGAGAACUUUGAAUACAAAAGACCCCCCAUCGGUGCCGGUCGUCCUUUGGCGUCGGUCUUUUCGGGGGCCGGCGCGGGGGACCGCUUAGCCUGGAGGCCCCGGUUAAUUACUCCCUAGACGCUUGGGGAAAA
rnacentral:rRNA from 1 species